CAAUAGCGUAUAUUAAAGUUGUUGCAGUUAAAAAGUCUCGUAGUUGGAUUUCUGGUAGGGUGCCAAUGUCCGCCGCCGUGCGAGCGCAGCGGCGCCCUACCAUCCUUCUGUCAACGCCUCUUGGCAUUCGUUUGCUGGUGGCGGGCUCAGAUAUUUUACCUUGAGAAAAUUAGAGUGUUUCAGGCAGGCUAGGCCGGAAUACAUUAGCAUGGAAUAAUGGAAUAGGACUAAGGUCUCUUUGUUGGUUUGAGGGACUGUAGUAAUGAUUAAUAGGGAUAGUUGGGGCAUUAGUAUUUAAUUGUCAGAGGUGAAAUUCUCGGAUUUGUUAAAGACUAACUUAUGCGAAAGCAUUUGCCAAGGAUGUUUUCAUUAAUCAAGAACGAAAGUUAGGGGAUCAAAGACGAUCAGAUACCGUCCUAGUCUUAACCAUAAACUAUGCCGACUCGGGAUUGGAGGCGAGAACUAUCCGCCUUCAGCACCGUAUGAGAAAUCAAAGUCUUU
rnacentral:rRNA from 1 species